rnacentral:tRNA from 1 species
GGAAAGAUGGCUGAGUGGCUUAAGGUACAGCAUUGCUAAUGCUGCACAUCCUCGGAUGUCGCAGGUUCGAAUCCUGUUCUUUCCG